UACGUAGGGCGCAAGCGUUGUCCGGAAUUAUUGGGCGUAAAGAGCUCGUAGGCGGCUUGUCGCGUCGUCUGUGAAAACCCGCGGCUCAACGGCGGGCUUGCAGUCGAUACGGGCAGGCUGGAGUUCGGUAGGGGAGACUGGAAUUCCUGGUGUAGCGGUGAAAUGCGCAGAUAUCAGGAGGAACACCGGUGGCGAAGGCGGGUCUCUGGGCAUUACCUGACGCUGAGGAGCGAAAGUGUGGGGAGCGAACAGG
rnacentral:rRNA from 1 species